rnacentral:rRNA from 1 species
GACGAACGCUGGCGGCGUGCUUAACACAUGCAAGUCGAACGGGUCUGCCCUGUUUUUUGCGGGGUGGGUCAGUGGCGAACGGGUGAGUAACACGUGAGUAACCUGCCCCUCACUUCUGGAUAACCGCUUGAAAGGGUGGCUAAUACGGGGUGUUCUGGCUGUGCCGCAUGGUGUGGCUGGGAAAGAUUCACUUUUGUGGUGUUUUGGUGGGGGAUGGGCUCGCGGCCUAUCAGCUUGUUGGUGGGGUGAUGGCCUGCCAAGGCUUUGACGGGUAGCCGGCCUGAGAGGGUGGGCGGUCACACUGGGACUGAGAUACGGCCCAGACUCAUGCGGGAGGCAGCAGUGGGGGGUAUUGCACAAUGGGCGGAAGCAUGAUGCAGCGACGUCGCGUGAGGGAUGGAGGCCUUCGGGUUGUGAACCUCUUUCGCCGGUGAAGAAGGUCCUGCUCUUUGUGGUGGGGUUGACGGUAGCCGGGUUAUGAAGCGCCGGCUAACUACGUG